GUACUACGUAACAACUUACUUACAGUAUAAUUAAGACUAUUUUUUUUGCUUAUUUCGAGCUUUUAUUGAGAAAAUAAAAAUAGUAUUGGUUGUAUCUUACGUAAGUUAUAACGAGUUCUACAUAAAAAGAAUCAGAAAGGAUGAAACUCAAGUGCAGUACUCUAGGCAUUAGUUGGCCUCAAAUCCAGUUGUGCAAGAAUCCUUUCAAUCUAUAAGCCUUUGAUGAGUUUUAAUUUACGAAAAUGAUAUAGGUCGCAACAUACAACCUUUAAGCCAUGUCACAAUGAUGACAUGACAUACUUAUGUGUCAUGAUUUAAAUUGGAAACUAAAACAUUUAACUUAUAUAACGUAUUAUACAUAAUACAUGUUUCCAAAAAAAAGGUAGGAAAAUUUUAAUAUUCUAAUUUGUUUCUUUAUUUAUAUCGAUGCAUAGUCUACGUGGCGCCUAUAUGUACUCCGACAUGUAAGAUUUCGAUCGAAACUUGCAACCUUUAUCAUCCCCCAUUAAAUUUAUCCGCGACUUUUGUGUCAGGCGGCCUGACAGCCACGCGCGUGUCAGACCACUUGCUUUGCCCACGCGCGCGUGACUACACGCGCUGUACAAAAGGAAAAUACUUUUCUCUCUCCUCUAUUUUUCAUUUUAUUUCCUGUCUCCUUCCUCAUCUCCUCUGCGAACCUGUUCUCUCUGAUUCCUCUCUCUCCUGUCUUCCCCAAUUUGAAGAACACCUAAAACAAGAUCUUAAGCAAAAGUAUUGGGCGAAUUCAGCGUUCUUCUCUCUCGAUCGUCAAGCUCGCCGUUGAUUUAGAUUUUGAUUUUAGCCGCUGCCCAUCAAGAAUUGCCACUGUCUGAGCUCCUCUCUUUUCAACCGGCGAUCUUGCGGUAUGACGGCGGUAGCACCAUAAUCAAAGGUUCAGUUUGCCUCUAACCUUGAUUUUCUAGGUUUUGACCAUUUUACUGGGUUGGAGCUGUAGUACGUGAAGCGGUGAAGGACUGAAGACAUUCAAGUCUCACUGUAACUUAACUGUAUGGUUGUGUUAAAAUUCGAGCAUUUUUUUUUGAGGUAGCUGGUGCUACUGAUAUGCCCUUGGCACUUAAGCAGCAAUUCAUUUUCUUUUUCUGGUGGAUCCAAUCUUAUUCUUUUGUAAUCUUUGAAGAACAAUUGUUAAGUGUGAUGAUUUAUUUUGCUAUGAUAGACUUCUAAAACUUUAUUAAGUGUAUUUUUUAUUUAUUUUAUUAACAAAAGUAAUGAUUAUUGAUUAUAGUUAA